GGGGAAGUUGCGAGUUUUCGCUAUCCCCAGACAGAACUUUUCCUUCUUCAAGAUAGCACUUACUGGGUGAAAGAAAGAAUGAAACUGUUCAAGGAGAAAGCUUUGAAUCACAAAGAUCUAUUCUAGAGAAAGAGACCCCUAGAAGGGAAUCUUCCAUGAGGGUCGUUGGAUAUGCAUAAAGAAAGUAGGCUAAAUCCAAGGUUGGCCUUUGACCCAUCUCUUGUGGAUCGGUAUAUCCCUUAGUCCAUUACUGAAUAAGUAAUUAGUCA
rnacentral:lncRNA from 1 species